rnacentral:rRNA from 1 species
CCAAUCGAACUUGGAGAUAGCUGGUUCUCCUCGAAAUAGCUUUAGGGCUAGCCUCAAUUUAGUUUACAGGGGGUAGAGCACUGAAUACCGUAGGGGUGUUAGACAUUACCGAAAGUUAUCAAACUGCGAAUACCUGAUAAAUGAUGAUUGGGAGUCAGACUAUGUGGGAUAAGCUUCAUAGUCAAAAGGGAAAGAGCCCAGACCACCAGCUAAGGUCCCUAAAUAUAGAUUAAGUGGAAAAGGAUGUUUUACUACUCAGACAACCAGGAUGUUGGCUUAGAAGCAGCCAUACAUUUAAAGAGUGCGUAAUAGCUCACUGGUCAAGUGGUAGAGCGCCGAAAAUGAACGGGGCUAAAAUCUAAUACCGAAGCUGUGGACUAAUUUAAUUAGUGGUAGAGGAGCAUUGUGUAAGGGGCGAAGCUAAGUUGGAAGACGAAGUGGACUUUACAGAAGAGAGAAUGCUGGCAUGAGUAGCGAAAAGGAGGGUGAGAAUCCCUCCCGUCGAAAGCCUAAGGAUUCCUGAGGAAGGCUCGUCCUCUCAGGGUAAGUCGGGACCUAAGCCCAGGCUGAAAAGCGUAAGCGAUGGACAACAGGUUGAGAUUCCUGUACUAUCUUUGAAUGUUUGAGAGAUGUACUGACGCAGGAGGAUAUGUUGAGCGUGUGAAUGGUAGAGCACGUCUAAGCAAGUAGGUAGAGAAUAGAGGCAAAUCCCUAUUCUUAAUAUCGAGAUGCGAUGGGGAGCGAAAAAUAAGUAGUGAAGCAACAGAUUCCAAACUGCCAAGAAAAGGUACUAUUGAGUGAGAAGAUACCCGUACCAAAACCGACACAGGUAGGCAAGGAGAGAAUCCUAAGACGCGCGGAAGAACCUUUGUUAAGGAACUCGGCAAAAUGACCCCGUAACUUCGGGAGAAGGGGUACCAUUAGAUGUGAGAUACUUGCGUAUGGAGCAUAGAGUGGUCGCAGAGAAUAGGCCCAAGCAACUGUUUACCAAAAACACAAGUCUCUGCUAAAUCGAAAGAUGAAGUAUAGGGGCUGACACCUGCCCGGUGCUGGAAGGUUAAGGGGAAAUGUUAGAGCAAUCGAAGCAUAGAACUUAAGCCCCAGUAAACGGCGGCCGUAACUAUAACGGUCCUAAGGUAGCGAAAUUCCUUGUCGGGUAAGUUCCGACCCGCACGAAAGGUGUAAUGAUUUGGGCACUGUCUCAACAAAGGAUCCGGUGAAAUUGUAGUAGUCGUGAAGAUGCGACUUACCCACGAUAGGACGGAAAGACCCCGUGGAGCUUUACUGUAGGCUGGCAUUGGAAUUUGGUAUUAAAUGUACAGGAUAGGUGGGAGACAAAGAAGCGAGAGCGCCAGUUUUCGUGGAGUCAAUGUUGGGAUACCACUCUUUUGAUACUAAAUUUCUAACUUGAUACUCUGAAGCGAGUAUAAGGACACUGUCAGUUGGGCAGUUUGACUGGGGCGGUCGCCUCCUAAAGAGUAACGGAGGCGUUCAAAGGUUCCCUCAGAAUGGAAGGAAAUCAUUCAAAGAGUGCAAAGGCAAAAGGGAGCUUAACUGCGACACCAACAAGUGGAGCAGAUAGGAAACUAGGACUUAGUGAUCCGGUGGUACCGAGUGGAAGGGCCAUCGCUCAACGGAUAAAAGCUA